rnacentral:rRNA from 1 species
GACGAACGCUGGCGGCGUGCUUAACACAUGCAAGUCGAACGGAAAGGCCCUGCUUUUGUGGGGUGCUCGAGUGGCGAACGGGUGAGUAACACGUGAGUAACCUGCCCUUGACUUUGGGAUAACUUCAGGAAACUGGGGCUAAUACCGGAUAGGAGCUCCUGCUGCAUGGUGGGGGUUGGAAAGUUUCGGCGGUUGGGGAUGGACUCGCGGCUUAUCAGCUUGUUGGUGGGGUAGUGGCUUACCAAGGCUUUGACGGGUAGCCGGCCUGAGAGGGUGACCGGCCACAUUGGGACUGAGAUACGGCCCAGACUCCUACGGGAGGCAGCAGUGGGGAGUAUUACACAGUGGGCGGAAGCCUGAUGCAGCAACGCCGCGUGCGGGAUGACGGCCUUCGGGUUGUAAACCGCUUUCGCCUGUGACGAAGCGUGAGUGACGGUAAUGGGUAAAGAAGCACCGGCUAACUACGUG